UAAUUUUCUUCACGUUGAAAUCAGAAAUCAAAAAUUAAAAUACUUUAAAAAUACUGUUCCUCACCCUAAAUCGAAAACGUUCUUCACCCCAAAAUCAAAAAUGUUCUUCACCCUGAAAUCGAAAAUCGUUCUUCACCCCGAAAUCGAGAAUCGUUCUUCACACUGAAAUCGAGAAUCGUUCUUCACCCUCAAAUUGAAAAUGUUCAAUCGUUCACACAAAUCGUUGACAAAAAUGGUUCAAUGACUGUGAGAUUCCUUUUUCAUCUUUCAUUCACUAUAUAGAGUACGUUGGGGAUUUAGAAACAAAAACUGAUCUGAGUUUCAUAUCUUCAAGUUCAGUGUCGCAAAUGAUGGAAAGUUCAUCAACAAAGAAUAUAAUGAUGUGUUUCUGGUAACUACUAUAGAUCCAAUACCUUUGGAAGCUCUUACACUUCAGAAUCCCCCUGAUUGGCAGGAAAUUUUGACCUAUUUUCGAGGAUCUGAAUUACAGAAUUACUUUACUCGCAUUCUAGAGGAUGAUUUAAAGCUUUUGUUUGUUUUAACAAAUGGAUAAGAGUUGGAUAUCAAAUAACUCUGUAACUCAACAGGAGUACAUUAGAGGUAUUUUAAACUUUCUUGAUUUUGCAUUUGCAAAUUCGUCAGAAAAUGGAAAAAUUUUAUGCCCCUGCACUAAGUGUGUUAAUUGCAAGAAGCAUUCUCGUAUGGAUGUUUACGAACACAUAAUCAGCCGAGGCUUUCUAAAAGGGUACAAUCGUUGGAUCUUUCAUGGUGAGAAAGUUAGCACUUCAAAUCGUGCAAGUGCAUGUGAAGUACAACAUGAGUUUGAUCAUGACAUGGAUGCAUUGAUUCAUGAUGCAUUUUCAAUGGAUGUAAAUAAUAAUGAUAAUGAUGCAGAUAUAAAUAUGGAGGAUGUGGAUCGAGAAACAUUCAUAAACGAACAUAAUGUUCAACAAUAUGAAGUGGGUGAUAAUUCAGAUAAGUUCUUUAAGUUGUUGAAGGAGGCAGAACAAAAUCUUUAUCCGGGUUGUAAGUUUACCAAACUAUCAUUCAUCGUACAUCUGUACCACUUAAAGUGUCUAAAUGGAUGGACAGACAAAAGCUUUUCAAUGCUUCUAGAGUUGUUAUGUGAUGCAUUUCCAAAAGAAAAUACAUUGCCAUGAAACACAAAUGUUUUAAAGAAGAACAGUGAAGAAACUUGAAACAGCUCAUUGAAAAAUUGUUUUGUAUUAUAGUUAUUAUAUUCCAAUUAAAGUAAAUAUUUUUUCA